CAGUAGAAUUCAAAUAACCAAAUUUCAAUUGGCUGCAAUUUUGGGUUUAUAUUGGUGAUCAAAUGUGGGAUCCAGAGCAAACCUCCAAAGACCCCCAGGCUGGAGAGCCAACAUCAGACAAUGCCCACAGAGCUGAUGGGGCUCACUGCUUUCUCACUGACCCAUGAGUUGGAAGCCAGGUGGUCACUGCGGCCCUUUCUACAUUCCAUUGCUCAAACCUGUUUCCCUAAAGUGGCCUCUACACAAUCAAGCUAAGGUUGCUUUUUGCCUCUAGCAAAGUCUUGAUGUUAAAGCAGUUAAGUUCCUGGAGGAAGGCCACUCUGCCAGUCCCAAGUACUUGUCAAUGGGCUGCAAGUUGUAAGGAAAUUCAAUUUUUUUUGACAUUUCUUUUGCGUUUCUUUUUGACAUCACUAUCACUGACUCCCCACUGUGAAUAUCUUCUUUUGUCUUUAGCUAAAGAUGAUAUUUAAGGUGAUGGCUUUGGCCAUUUUGGAGAGUUACUCAAUUUUCCUGAUAUUAUGAAACUCAAAAUUGUCUGGGCACCCAGGGCACUGUAAGCCCAUGUCUGAGACAACAGUUUUGAAACAAAGAAAGCUUUAUUAUCAAAACGACAGUCCAACAAGAAGCAGGGGGAUCAUUCCCAAAGCUGCUUUGUCCCUUGAGCCUAGGGACAGCUUAUAUAUGUUUGCAAAGGAGGUGAAUACAUGAGGAAGGGUGAAGGGCUUCUUGAAACCUUGGGGCGGGGAGUUGAAAUAAUCUGGAGGUAUGCAUUCUUCUGUUAGGGAAAAAUCCCUUAUAUGACUGCUGACAGGACUGAUAAGGGAAUUUCAGUCCCUGCCUGAAAACUUCCCUUCCAGGUUCUUGUUCCCACCCUGCUGCCUCAGGCACCAAAUUACUACUAAUUAGGAAUGCGGAAGUAAUAGAAUAUAAAUUGUCCCCUCUGUUGAUUCUCUGAGCUCAGAUCUCUGGAGAAUGAUCUCCUCUGGGCCCACUGGUGUA